rnacentral:tRNA from 1 species
UGUCGGGUCUGCUAGUGGUAGGCAUCCGCGCUCUGAACGCGGCAACCUUGGUUCGAAUCCAAGCCCGACAGCCA